AGGAGUGGGACCACCAUGGUCCAGCAUGCAAUCUGCACAGCUUUCUCAUCUUACAGACACCAAAGAGCUCAGAAGGAGCUGAGGGGAAUUCACUCCACAACCCGGAAAUUAUCCACUGCUUCUGGUCAUGGGGACUGUGAUGCAUGAAUCCCCCAGGCCGAGGGGUCACAGCCUGAGACACUGCUGACCAUGGGGUGCCAGCAAAGGUGCCCAGUGUCCUUACUCAAAGACACCAGUGUGUCUGUGUGUCUACUCCUACAUUCACAUGCGUGCGUGCACACACCCACAGAGACAGUGUCUUUCCACUGCAGAGAUGGGCUCAGCCAUGUCCCUUCUUAGGACACUUCCAGCAGUCAGUUCAGGGCCAGUGCCAAGGAGCUGGCUGCGGAUGGCUCGUUUUAUCAGGGUUCCCCAGAGAGAUCUUGAAAACGUGUGGGCAGGGAGAACACAGUCCCUUUAAGAUGUCCUGGGAGGGAUCCAGCAGACAGUAGCUUUGCGGCUUUACAAGCUGAUGACACAGCAACCUGGGAAACUCUUCCCUGUGGGAGAAGAAAGGCCCAGGGACAGCGGAGGACACUGAGGCUGGCAGGCAGAGGUCUCAGACACCAGCAUGAAGUGGAGUUGCAGGCACAGAGGCCAUUGCCCAAUUUUUAUUUUAGAUCUUCCUGGGCUUCCUUUCUUUGGGAAGGGUAGAUGUGUGCUGCUUGGUCUCCAGGAUGAACCCGUCACGCUCGCUUCCUGGCAUGUACCCGACUGUGCUUCUCAUGGGAGGAGCUCAGGCCUCCGUGUCACUGAGGAUGGCUGUGGUGCCUUUCAGGACAUCCCUGGUCUUUGUUGUGAGUGUGACUUCUCGGCUCCAGUGUAGAACCCUCAACCUACCAGCAAACCUCGCUGGCAUGGACUUUCUGGCUUCUACCGCUGACCUUUGGGCCUUUCCAGGCUCUGAUCUGUAAAACAUAUUGGUGUGAGUCGUUGUGGGCUCUAGACCUCCAGUUGGACUCAUGGGAGGCACUGUCAGGGACUCUAGGUUUUCAUCUGGACUCAUGCAGGACAUUGCUGUGGGAUUCAGGACCUUGGCUGAAUAUUCUAUGUCUUUGGUGUUGUGGAUAGAUUUCCUGCACUAAUGCUUUUUCUGGGUGACCAUCAUAAAAUAAUAUUAUAAAUUCCAUGUCCUGAUUUUAACUGUUCUCCUCACAACCCCUGACUACAACAAGGGAUAAAAGAAGAUCAGGCUCCUAAGACCUUGACCAAACCCCAGUCUCAUGCUGAGAGCACAGGAGGGUAAUGUUACACACAGGAAAGUGAAGUUACUACAGGCAGCUAAGUUUGAUAGAAAUCAGUGGGGGACUGAACACUCAAGGAAGACAGCAGAAAACACGAAGGCUUUAGAACCCGGGCUGGAGGUGCACCUGUUGAAGGCCAGGCCUCAAGAUAGAGAUGUAGGGCUGGGGAUUUAGCUCAGCAGCAUAAACGCCUGCCUUGCAAGUGCAUGGUCGUGAGUUCAAUGCCCAGUACCAAAAAAAAAAAAAAAAAGAUAGAGAUGUAAAGGCCCACACAUCUCCCUAAGGAUAAGCAGGAACUUGGAACUAUAAUUGGUAUCUCCUGGUCCAGUGAAGUCCAGAUAAGAUAUCAACCACCGAGCAGGUGACCAAAGCACCCAAACCCAUUCCUUCCCAAAAAUGCUCCUUCCACAUACCUGCCCUACUGAGUGGCUAUACUUAACAUCUUAUUGGUUGGUUACAGUUUAACCCACACUAUACCCCACCUUAUGAUUUGGCUGUAUAAAACAUUCCUAGAUACACUCAUCAGUAACCAAUACACUAACACAGUUCCUACAGAAAUGACCUUGGUGCCAGCUUGCUUUCAGGUCCCCUCCUGUUGCUCAGCAGCUAUCUCUCAAUAAAGCUUUCCUGCUGUUAA